rnacentral:rRNA from 1 species
UGGGGAAUUUUGGACAAUGGGCGAAAGCCUGAUCCAGCAAUGCCGCGUGUGUGAAGAAGGCCUUCGGGUUGUAAAGCACUUUUGUCCGGAAAGAAAUCCUCUGGGUUAAUACCUCGGGGGGAUGACGGUACCGGAAGAAUAAGCACCGGCUAACUACGUGCCAGCAGCCGCGGUAAUACGUAGGGUGCAAGCGUUAAUCGGAAUUACUGGGCGUAAAGCGUGCGCAGGCGGUUUUGUAAGACGGAUGUGAAAUCCCCGGGCUUAACCUGGGAACUGCAUUCGUGACUGCAAGGCUAGAGUAUGGCAGAGGGGGGUAGAACUCCACGUGUAGCAGUGAAAUGCGUAGAGAUGUGGAGGAAUACCGAUGGCGAAGGCAGCCCCCUGGGCCAAUACUGACGCUCAUGCACGAAAGCGUGGGGAGCAAACAGGAUUAGAUACCCUGGUAGUCCACGCCCUAAAACGAUGUCAACUAGUUGUUGGGGAUUCAUUUCCUUAGUAACGUAGCUAACGCGUGAAGUUGACCGCCUGGGGAGUACGGUCGCAAGAUUAAAACUUAAAUGAAUUGACGGGGUCAUAGCUGUUUCCU